UGGGGAAUAUUGCGCAAUGGGCGAAAGCCUGACGCAGCGACGCCGCGUGAGGGAAGAAGGCCUUCGGGUCGUAAACCUCUGUCUAGAGGGAAGAAACCAUUGAGGUCGAACAGGCCUCUUUGCUGACGGUACCUCUGAAGGAAGCACCGGCUAACUCCGUGCCAGCAGCCGCGGUAAUACGGAGGGUGCGAGCGUUAAUCGGAAUCACUGGGCGUAAAGCGCACGUAGGCGGUGUCGUAAGUCGGAUGUGAAAGCCCACGGCUUAACUGUGGAAGUGCAUUUGAAACUGUCAGACUUGAGUAUCAGAGGGGAAAGUGGAAUUCCCGGUGUAGAGGUGAAAUUCGUAGAUAUCGGGAGGAAUACCGGUGGCGAAGGCGACUUUCUGGCUGAAUACUGACGCUGAGGCGCGAAAGCGUGGGGAGCAAACA
rnacentral:rRNA from 1 species